UAUGUUUCUUUCUUCCUCAUUUUCCCCAACUUCUUUCGUUUCGGAAAUUCCUUGGGCCUAGAUUACAAACAAAUAAAACAAAAAUUUUAACCAAAAAAUCAAAAGUCCAUUGCAACAGUCCAUUUACAAAAAAAAAUAUCAGGUCCAAAUAUAAAAACCUAAAGGCCCAGUGGCCCAAACUAUUUCAGAAUAGGGUUUUUGGCACCACUUCUCUCGCGCCGCCUCCUAUCCCUUCACAACCACGCCACUCGAGGCCUUUCAUCUUUGCCACCAUCAUCAUCAACCACCACCUGCAAAAAAAGAAAAAAAAGGACAGAAGAAGAAACGC
rnacentral:lncRNA from 1 species